UAGUGGCGGACGGGUGAGUAACGCGUGAGAAUCUGACCUCAGGAGGGGGAUAACGGCUGGAAACGGCCGCUAAUACCCCAUAUGCCGAGAGGUGAAAUGAAUUUCGCCUGAGGAUGAGCUCGCGUCUGAUUAGCUAGUUGGUGUGGUAAAGGCUCACCAAGGCUUCGAUCAGUAGCUGGUCUGAGAGGAUGAUCAGCCACACUGGGACUGAGACACGGCCCAGACUCCUACGGGAGGCAGCAGUGGGGAAUUUUCCGCAAUGGGCGCAAGCCUGACGGAGCAACGCCGCGUGAGGGAUGAAGGCCUCUGGGCUGUAAACCUCUUUUAUCAAGGAAGAAGAUCUGACGGUACUUGAUGAAUAAGCCACGGCUAA
rnacentral:rRNA from 1 species